rnacentral:sRNA from 2 species
AUGUACCCACGUACACUCCGGUUCCUCCGCGCCGUCCGCACCCACCUGACGACUGCUCGCUACGUUUUGUCAGCC